rnacentral:rRNA from 1 species
CUGGCUCAGGAUGAACGCUAGCGGCAGGCUAACACAUGCAAGUCGAGGGGCAUCGGGAGUAGCAAUACUUGCCGGCGACCGGCGCAAGGGUGCGUAACGCGUGAGCAACAUGCCCGUAUCAGGGGGAUAAUCCAUGGAAACGUGGUCUAAUACCCCAUAGUAAUUAUGUAAGGCAUCUUAUAUAAUUUAAAGCUUUGGUGGAUACGGAUUGGCUCGCGUGACAUUAGCUGGAUGGUAAGGUAACGGCUUACCAUGGCUACGAUGUCUGGGGGUUCUGAGAGGAAGGUCCCCCCACACUGGAACUGAGACACGGUCCAGACUCCUACGGGAGGCAGCAGUGAGGAAUAUUGGACAAUGGAUGAAAUCUGAUCCAGCCAUGCCGCGUGCAGGAAAGACGGCCCUAUGGGUUGUAAACUGCUUUUGUAUGGGAGCAAUAAGGGCUACGUGUAGUCCGAUGAGAGUACCAUACGAAUAAGCACCGGCUAACUCCGUGCCAGCAGCCGC